rnacentral:lncRNA from 10 species
UCAGUGCAGGUGGCAUAAUGACCAGCGGUGACUUGAAUGACAAGGGGACAGAACAGCUGGACAAUCCAAUUCCUAGAUGCUUUCUCCAGUUAUGGCCCUGACUGGGAUCUCCGAAGAAUGACUCAGCUGAAACUAUUUCAUCAUUGCCUACAUUUGUCUUCAGACGACCUGCAGUACAAACUUGGCUUAAACCUGCAGUUGACAAUGGAUUCACCGUGGGAGAAUAAAUUACAAUGGAUAAAAAACAGCAUUACAAUCCCUCAAUAAAAUGGGAUUUUAACAGACAAAGGUGAGUCAGUGGUGAAAGGCAGGAGAAGAUACAACAGGUAAGUGUCUGACUUCAGGCUGGAGCCCUAAUAUAAUAAUAAGUCCUUCUUGUAUUGUAAUCUCUUACAGCUGAAUCUCCAUGUGCUCUCUCUCUCUUCUAACAUCAAUGCAGCUCCUGGUAUGUGGUCGUUCUCAGGCCCAAAGGCCCAUUUUGCUUUUGGCUGCAACUCUGUAACUCUGUAACAGAGACCAAGUGCCUGCAGGGAGCAGAUGUUUGGGGCAGUAUCUGCUAAGGUGGCUUUGCUGAAACUUGUUUCUCUCAUUGGGUCUUGGAAGUGGCGAAUAGGACGUUCCUAUAGAAAAACUCAGAAAGAGACUGUGAAAGAUAAUCUUAAAGAGGCACUCACGAAACACAAGCUCCUUCUCCGGGAAAAAGAAUCAUCACCCUUGUUAUCCCAUGAAAAUUCAUCUUCUCCUUUUCAGCUGAUAUGAG